GCCGGGCCGCGCGCCGCGCCCGCAGAGGGAGGGCCGCGGCGCAGGGGGCGUCGGUCGGCUGGGCGGGAGGGGCCGGGCUCCCGCUCGCGGCUGGGCCCGGGCCGAGCGCGCGCCCGCCAUGGAGGUGGAGGAGGCGUUCCAGGCGGUGGGGGAGAUGGGCAUCUACCAGAUGUACUUGUGCUUCCUGCUGGCCGUGCUGCUGCAGCUCUACGUGGCCACAGAGGCCAUCCUCAUUGCACUGGUUGGGGCUACUCCAUCGUACCACUGGGACCUGGCAGAGCUCCUGCCGAAUCAAAGCCACGGCAACCGGUCAGGUGGUGAUGACCAGGCCCUCAGGGACUGGCUGCUGACAGCCAAUGGCAGCGAGAUCCACAAGCACGUGCACUUCAACAGCAGCUUCACCUCCAUCGCCUCUGAGUGGUUUUUAAUCGCCGACAGAUCUUACAAAGUCAGUGCCGCGAGCUCUUUCUUCUUCAGCGGCGUGUUUGUGGGAGUUCUCUCUUUUGGUCAGCUUUCCGAUCGCUUUGGAAGGAAAAAAGUCUAUCUCACAGGUUUUGCCCUUGACAUCUUAUUUGCUAUUGCAAAUGGAUUUUCCCCCUCCUAUGAGUUCUUUGCGAUAACUCGCUUCCUGGUGGGCGUGAUGAAUGGAGGGAUGUCGCUGGUGGCCUUUGUCCUGCUGAACGAAUGUGUGGGCACUGCCUACUGGGCACUCGCAGGAUCGAUCGGUGGCCUCUUCUUCGCGGUCGGCAUCGCCCAGUAUGCCCUGUUGGGAUACUUCAUCCGCUCCUGGAGGACCCUAGCCGUUCUGGUUAACCUGCAGGGAACAGUGGUCUUUCUCUUAUCUUUAUUCAUUCCUGAAUCCCCUCGUUGGUUAUACUCCCAGGGUCGACUGAGUGAGGCUGAAACAGCUCUGUACCUCAUUGCCAAGAGGAACCGCAAGCUCAAGUGUACGUUCUCACUAACACAUCCGGCCAACAGGAGCUGCAAGGAGACCGGAAGUUUUCUGGACCUGUUCCGUUACCGGAUCCUCUUGGGGCACACUCUGACCCUGAUGUUCAUCUGGUUUGUGUGCAGCUUGGUCUAUUAUGGCCUGACUCUAAGUGCAGGGGAUCUUGGUGGAAAUAUUUAUGCCAACCUGGCCCUGUCUGGCCUCAUAGAGAUCCCAUCCUAUCCUCUCUGCAUCUACUUGAUUAACCAAAAAUGGUUUGGUCGGAAGCGGACAUUAGCAGCAUUUCUAUGCCUGGGAGGACUGGCUUGUCUUAUUGUAAUGUUCCUUCCAGAAAAGAAAGACACAGGUGUGUUUGCAGUGGUGAACAGCCGUUCCUUGUCUCUGCUGGGGAAGCUGACGAUCAGUGCUGCCUUUAACGUCGCCUAUAUCUACACCUCUGAGCUGUACCCGACAGUCAUCAGGAAUGUCGGGCUUGGCGCUUGUUCCAUGUUCUCCCGAGUUGGUGGGAUUAUUGCUCCUUUCAUCCCCUCACUGGUUGAAAUACGUGCAGUGGUCUUUACCCUUCAUUGUCUUUGGAGCCACGGGCCUGACCUCGGGCCUCCUGAGUUUAUUAUUGCCAGAAACCCUUAACAGUCCAUUGCUAGAGACGUUUUCCGACCUUCAGGUGUAUUCAUAUCGGAGGCUGGGGGAGGAAGCGUUAUCUUUACAGACUUUGGAUCCCCCACAGUCUGCAGGCAAGGAGAGCGCUUUAGGGAGUGAGAGUGAGGAAGAGGAAGAGUUUUACGACGCGGAUGAAGAGACUCAGAUGAUCAAGUGAAGGGCCCCAGACUCCUCCUGAGCAGCAGAGGAUCAUCGUUUGUGCCUCUGGCUAAGGCAGGUUCUCCCAGGAAACUUAGGAGGGUUGUAGAAAGAUAGGCUUGAACAUAUGUGGAAGGGCCUCCGCGUGGACUGAUUUGUUCAGGCAGAAAGGAAGUUGGAGAAGAGAUUUCGUGAGAGAGACCAUCACUGCAUUGAGGGAAUGGUUGUUAAUUUGUCCAAAAUUUGGGUUUAGCUCAGAACCAUGACCUCUGGCCGGAUAGCUCAAAUCCACAUACCAGAGUGGCAAGCUGAUUUAUUCCUAGAAGUUUGAUCAAGUUGCUUUUUCUUCAUCAUGAUCUAAAGGCAGAUAUGUAAAAUUUCUUCUCACUGUUUUAGUGGGAUAAGAUAAACCACUCGUAAGAUUUAAGGUUUGGGUUUUUAAAAUUAGGUUUUUUAGGUUCUUAAAAUUUCGUCUUUAUGCCAUAUUUGACAUCUACCCUUAUCAGGUGCUCCUCACCAGGGAUCUUUUGAGGCAAGUUGGUAUUAGCGUUUCAAUUUUGUGCCAGGGGAAAAGCACUGAGGUGAUUUGUGUGGCCUGGGGCCCUCCAGCUUUGCCCUAUCAGAUGAACUUUGGGUCCUCAGCUUGGUUCCCAGCCUGGCAGUUGGCUUGAGUUCCCUGUGCCUAUAGUCCCACAGAUCAUCUACUAGGAGAUACCAGCUGUACCAAAGUGAUCUUCUCAGAGUCAGAGAUGUGGCUGCAGCUUCCUGUGAGCUCCCCUUGAGACUCAAAUUGUGUAAUUUCUUCAGUUCCCACUUAUGCACACUCCAGAAAAAUUUCCAUCUCAGAUUCUAGUACCAGCAAUAACUUCAGAAUCAUGCACAGUAAAUGAUGAAGUUUCAUAAAGCUGGAAGGCAGUUAAAAAGUGACCUGUUGAGUACUUGGAUAUUAAAAUGAAAAUAAAAGGUAUCAUUUUUUAAUAAGGAAGAAAAGAAAAUUAUCUUUCACAGUUUUUUGUUUGUUUUCAGUCUUGUGCAAUGAAUGAGGGACUUGGGCAAGAUUCAAGAUCUUGAACUCUUUUAAUCCUAGAUCAGCCCCUGCCUGUUUAGUAGAAUGGAAGCCUCAGUAACUUCAUAGAAAAUGUUGACUUUUCAUUAAGUACUACAAACUUUCAAAUAAGUCAAAAUCAUACUUACUUUGCUAAAAAUAUGUUUCCCUGUGAAACUUGAGUGUUAUCCCAAAUAAGAGUAUUAACCUGGAGUCAGCAAGCUUGGGCAGCAUUGCUGUGGGUCACUAGGAAAAUGUCUUUGUGUUUUCAGAAUUUCCAUUUCUACUAAUCUCUUGGAGAAAAGAAAUUGCAUUAGAGGUAGAGAGAAGAUGUCACUGUGACUGCUUCUGGAAAUCUUGGAGGGAUCACCCACAGUUGGCUCCAACACUCUUCUGUCCUCUUCUACAUUGACUUCUUUUCUUGCACUCUAUCAGUCUUUGUAUUUGUUAAAAUAUUUUUAUCUCCUUUAUGCCCUUGAUUAUGUAUUGAGCUCUUCACAAAUAGGGCCAUCUCUACCACUGUUUAUUUCUCUCUGCUGUGCCCAGACAUGGGCCUAGACACAGGAGGACCCUAAUAAGUAUUAUUGUUUCCAGCCAUCAGGGAAAUUGUGAAACUCCUCCCAGUAUCAUUUUUAUAAAUCCCAGGAAAAUUUGACCCAAACCCCCAAAUUGUGGAAUCCUGCUUGUCUUUCUGGAAAAUGGAGACCCUCCCCAACACCAGGAGAAGAACAGAGGAAGAACUUACAAGGACACUUAGAAGGUCUUCUUUAUUGGUCGAAUGUUAAAGAUAAAACAAUAAACUAACAUAUAUGUGAUUUUUGCCUGGUUGGAGCUCUCUGCAUUAUAAGAGUAAUACAUCCCAUUAUAGGAAAUUUAGAAACUAGACGUUAAAAAAUUUAUCACCCAUAGGGCCAACACACAGAGAUAGCCAGUAUAUGGCUUUGUUCUAUUUGAAGACCAGGAAUCCAUCUCUCUAUUAGCACUGGGGUUCCCUCUGCCUCUGGCUACAUAAAUGAGGAUUCUGUUAAUUCUGUCCCUGUGUAUCCUCUUCUCCCAGCUCUGGGGUGGAAGAAGGGAGGAAGGGAUACACAGUUUGAAUACAUGUUGCUUAAUAGGGCUGGGCGUGCUAUCAGCUGCUCAUAUUGGAUGUGUCACUAAAUUUUGUUUCUUUCUAGAUGGUCUGUUGGCAAAGUUUAAUAAUUACUCUUUUAUCAUUCCACUGCCUUUUAUAAAAAUAAAGUUUUUUCCCUUUGAUAUUAACUGUUGAAGAAUAGUGAUUGUAGAGAAUAUACACAUUUGUAUAUUUGUGUGGAUUAAAUUAUUGGAAAACUUAAUUUAUAGGUAACAUUUUGAUUGUGCAGACGAUUUGUAAAAAAUAUCCUUUUUUAUUUUUUUAUUGUAUUCAAAAUUAAAUUUCUUUUUUCCUAAAAAGCAGCAAGAAAAAUGUAAGACACGUAAGAAACCGCAGGAUUUCCAGGGUCAAAGGUCUGCUAACAGUUUGUUCAGAACCUUGGCACCACAUGGAUUUGUUGAAAGAAACUGUGUUCUGGUUUCCUGAUUUGUUGAGUUAAAACCACUGCCCAUUGAAAAGGCAAUAUUUGUCAUUUGGCUGCUUUCAAGCAAUAUGAACUUCUUUAGUAUUUAAAAAUGAGCAAAUAAAAUACAAGAAAUACACAAGAAGCAAAUGAAAGUUCCCGGGGCAAUGCUUAAGUGAAUGUAAUCUGGACAGGCAUUUUUGUGGAGGUCAAAUUGAUGAAGAUAGUUUUAGUAGAUGUAAAUUCUUCACAACAACAUUGAGAAUUGUCACUAUUACAUCAGAAUUAAAAUACAGCUUUCCAGUAGGACUUACUCCUCCAUUACAAGUUCUUAUUAGAUCAUUGGUUCUUAAAUUGGAAAGAUAUCUAUAAAAGAUUUUUUAACUAAAUAAAAUGCAGGUAUUUUGGCCUCUUAUGAAUUUAAUAAAGAGUCACAAAACAUAAGCCUUUUCUUUUGUUCUUACAGAAUGUGUCAGGAUAUAUAGUAGCAUCCUUGACAAAUUGGGCAUGUAUAGAAUCUGCUAGAACUUAUGGGUGGUGUGUGGGACAGUGGCUGUAGUGAAGUUUGGAAGUCAUAGGCACAAUAGAUAACUAUAAAAAUAUUUUUAGAGAGAGAAAAAUGCAAAGAUAAUGCAUUGUUGAAAAAUUCAUCUAUGCAGUACAUAAAGAAGAAUAAGAUCUUAUGAUUACCUCAGUAGAUACAUAAAGAGUAUUUGGCAAAAUUCAACACCUACUUAAAAUAAAAGCUAUUAGCAGUCAAGGAAUGAAAGGAAACUUCCUUAGCAAAAUAAGGGAUAUUGUAGUCCAUACAGCGAAUCGGUACACAGUGUCUCUUCACCUUCCUGGUACCUUGGGCUUCAAACUUUCUUGAUCUUGACCCACA